rnacentral:rRNA from 1 species
GGAGUCUGGGCCGUGUCUCAGUCCCAAUGUGGCCGUCCGCCCUCUCAGGCCGGCUACUGAUCGUCGCUUUGGUAGGCCGUUACCCUGCCAACUGGCUAAUCAGACGCGGAGCCAUCUCACACCGAUAAAUCUUUUCCCGCUGCACCAUGCGAUGCUGUGGGCUUAUGCGGUAUUAUCAGUCGUUUCCAACUGCUAUCCCCCUGUGUGAGCCAGGUUCUCCACGCGUUACUCACCCGUCCGCCACUAAGUAUGAUUUCCGUCCGAAAACUUCCAUCAUACUCCGUUCGACUUGCAUGUGUUAGGCACGCCGCCAGCGUUCAUCCUGAGCCAGGAUACAACUACU